rnacentral:lncRNA from 1 species
UUCCAGAGCCGUCGGCCUGUCUCCAAGCAGAGCAGCAGCUGGGGACUCCUGAUCAGGUGACCUGGGCACACCUGCUGGAGAAGGCCCAGGAGCGGCAGAUGAUGACCUUCCCUGACCUUCUUAACGUCAACGAGGACCCUCAGCUCACCAGGGUGCUCAAGUACUUCAUUCAAGCUGGUUCAUGUGACGCUGGUCGGGCUGUCUCAAAUGCUAUCACGAUUCAAGGUUUGGGUGCUUGGAGCCCUGACCCACCAGACUACAGAAAGCCCAGACUGUGGAGUGACCCCUGGGGCUCCCUCAGGAGGCCCCUGCAGGAGCCCUGGGAAACCCCAUGCCGGGCCUCACCCAGUCAAGAGCUGUCCCCAGCUCUGUGGCUGCCCUGCCUGGGAGGCUGCUGCUGGAGUGUCUCCAGCUGGGAAGCACCAUCACCUGCGUCCUUCAGACAGAUCACCCCCAUCCCCGUACGAAAGCCCACGGGCCGUCGUGGCUGGAGGGGUGCUGACCCAGGGGCUGGCUGGCCCCGCCUCGUCCUGCACUGCCAGCCUCCUUCUUGGGACAUCUUCCUGGGGAUCCCCCUCAAGUCCCUUUCCAGAACACGUCCUUAGUCCAACACACAGAAUUUCAGAUAAACACGCUUCCUUCACAAAUGCCGACGGUAAAGUGAUGGUCACUCCACACAGCAAAUGCAAGGUUGCCGUUAAUGGGGUGCCCAUCACCACCAGGACAAAGCUGCAGCAUUUGGACCGCCUGAUUUUGGGAUCCAACAGCACCUACCUGUACGUGGGGUUUCCUUCGGAGUGGGGCAGUGAGGACCUGAGCAGGUUCGAUUACGACUUCUUCCAGCUGGAGAGGGCGGCUGCGGAGGGAGCGAGUGCAGACAAACUCGGUGCUGCGGACGGUGGAGACGGCAAGGCAGGC